rnacentral:rRNA from 1 species
AUAGGGGAGCCGUAGGGAAACCGAGUCUUAACUGGGCGAAUGAGUUGCAGGGUAUAGACCCGAAACCCGGUGAUCUAGCCAUGGGCAGGUUGAAGGUUGGGUAACACUAACUGGAGGACCGAACCGACUAAUGUUGAAAAAUUAGCGGAUGACUUGUGGCUGGGGGUGAAAGGCCAAUCAAACCGGGAGAUAGCUGGUUCUCCCCGAAAGCUAUUUAGGUAGCGCCUCGUGAACUCAUCUUCGGGGGUAGAGCACUGUUUCGACUAGGGGGUCAUCCCGACUUACCAACUCGAUGCAAACUACGAAUACCGAAGAAUGUUAUCACGGGAGACACACGGCGGGUGCUAACGUUCGUCGUGAAGAGGGAAACAACCCAGACCGCCAGCUAAGGUCCCAAAGUCAUAGUUAAGUGGGAAACGAAGUGGGAAGGCUCAGACAGCCAGGAUGUUGGCUUAGAAGCAGCCAUCAUUUAAAGAAAGCGUAAUAGCUCACUGGUCGAGUCGGCCUGCGCGGAAGAUGUAACGGGGCUAAACUAUGCACCGAAGCUGCGGCAGCGAUAUGUAAAUAUUGUUGGGUAGGGGAGCGUUCUGUAAGCCUGUGAAGGUGUACUGUGAGGUAUGCUGGAGGUAUCAGAAGUGCGAAUGCUGACAUAAGUAACGAUAAUGCGGGUGAAAAACCCGCACGCCGGAAGACCAAGGGUUCCUGUCCAACGUUAAUCGGGGCAGGGUGAGUCGACCCCUAAGGCGAGGCAGAAAUGCGUAGUCGAUGGGAAACGGGUUAAUAUUCCCGUACUGGUGAUAAUUGCGAUGGGGGGACGGAGAAGGCUAGGCUGGCCGGGCGACGGUUGUCCCGGUUUAAGGAUGUAGGCAGGUGAAUUAGGCAAAUCCGGUUCACUAUAUGCUGAGGUCUGAUGACGAGUCACUACGGUGGCGAAGUAGCUCAUGCCCCGCUUCCAGGAAAAGCCUCUAAGCUCUAGAUUAUCACUAAUCGUACCCCAAACCGACACAGGUGGUCAGGUAGAGAAUACUCAGGCGCUUGAGAGAACUCGGGUGAAGGAACUAGGCAAAAUGGUGCCGUAACUUCGGGAGAAGGCACGCUGGCGUUAGGUGAAGUGGUUUACCCAUGGAGCUGAAGCCAGUCGCAGAUACCAGCUGGCUGCAACUGUUUAUUAAAAACACAGCACUGUGCAAACACGAAAGUGGACGUAUACGGUGUGACGCCUGCCCGGUGCUGGAAGGUUAAUUGAUGGGGUUAUCCGUAAGGAGAAGCUCUUGAUCGAAGCCCCAGUAAACGGCGGCCGUAACUAUAACGGUCCUAAGGUAGCGAAAUUCCUUGUCGGGUAAGUUCCGACCUGCACGAAUGGCGUAAUGAUGGCCAGGCUGUCUCCACCCGAGACUCAGUGAAAUUGAACUCGCUGUGAAGAUGCAGUGUACCCGCGGCAAGACGGAAAGACCCCGUGAACCUUUACUAUAGCUUGACACUGAACAUUGAGCCUUGAUGUGUAGGAUAGGUGGGAGGCUUUGAAGUGUGGACGCCAGUCUGCAUGGAGCCAACCUUGAAAUACCACCCUUUAAUGUUUGAUGUUCUAACGUUGCCCCGUUAUCCGGGGUGCGGACAGUGUCUGGUGGGUAGUUUGACUGGGGCGGUCUCCUCCCAAAGAGUAACGGAGGAGCACGAAGGUUGGCUAAGCAUGGUCGGACAUCAUGCGGUUAGUGCAAAGGCAUAAGCCAGCUUGACUGCGAGAGUGACGGCUCGAGCAGGUACGAAAGUAGGUCUUAGUGAUCCGGUGGUUCUGAAUGGAAGGGCCAUCGCUCAACGGAUAAAAGGUACUCCGGGGAUAACAGGCUGAUACCGCCCAAGAGUUCAUAUCGACGGCGGUGUUUGGCACCUCGAUGUCGGCUCAUCACAUCCUGGGGCUGAAGUAGGUCCCAAGGGUACGGCUGUUCGCCGUUUAAAGUGGUACGCGAGCUGGGUUUAGAACGUCGUGAGACAGUUCGGUCCCUAUCUGCCGUGGGCGUUGGAAGAUUGAAAGGGGCUGCUCCUAGUACGAGAGGACCGGAGUGGACGCACCACUGGUGUUCGGGUUGUCAUGCCAAUGGCAUUGCCCGGUAGCUAAGUGCGGAAGAGAUAACCGCUGAAAGCAUCUAAGCGGGAAACUUGCCUUGAGAUGAGUCUUCCCUGACCCUUUAAGGGUCCUAAAGGAACGUUUAAGACUAAGACGUUGAUAGGUUGGGUGUGUAAGCAUAGCGAUAUGUUGAGCUAACCAAUACUAAUGAACCGUGAGGCUUAACCUG